rnacentral:lncRNA from 1 species
CGCUUGCGGAUCAUUUCCUGGUGGCGUUACCAAAUAUCAACAAGCAUUUCUGGCGCCGUUGCCGGGGAGAAAGACGGUUUGCUGAGAUAACUUUAAGUCUUGCUAUUAUCUUGUAUUAUACUUUUAUACUUUUAUUCUUUUAUCUUUUUAUUUUUUCCAUCUUUAUAGAUAACUCAAAUUCCACACCUAUUAUUAAAUUUUUUGCACCUUCAGAGACCAGCCAUAGACCAUGGGAGUCAACAAGUCCUUUCUUUGCCCCUAAUUAUGAUCUGUGUUCGGAGUUGAUUGCAAUAGGUCAAAACCAACCCUUUUCUAUAGCUGAGGUCCUAUCUUUUAAUCAAGAAGAUAAUGAACUUUUAGCUACACCUAGGGAAUCUGUUAAUCUUUCUAUAAAUUCUGGUUUAAACCUAGCACUACAAGACCAUGUUUUUUCUCGAUAUUGUCACAUUGGUCUUAAUCAUAUAACCUUUGGUAGAGUCUUUCUUUCUUUAUCUAUUAGUAAAGGAAGGUAUGUCUUCAUUCAUGGACAUCCUUCUUGCACUAGUCUUCAUAAAAAAUUCCUAGAGAUAGAGAAGGAAUCAUCUCCCAGACAAGGAAAGGAAGUUUCAAUAGCCGAUUUCCAAACAUUUCAAUCCCAUGAUUCGGCUAUCCAACCCAUCUUUGAGCUUAAUAAUUUCUACUAUGCUCUUUCUCUUGAACCUCCC